CGGGAAAGACAGCAGGUUUAACUGACCCUCGGGAGAGAGGUCAGGGGCAGGGUAGCGCGGGCAGUUUCGGGACCUCGGCACCUCUGAGAGGAAGGGAGGCAGUGCUGGGGCAGUCCAGCCCCAGGUUUCACCACUGAGUCACGAGGCGCCCAACUGGAGAGAGAGCCAGCCAGGUGGUUCCUGCUGCAGGACCCCCACCAUUUAGGCCGGGAGAAGACCAUUCUUUUCAGAAUGCAAAACUCUGUGGAGGUGAUGAAACGGCCCCACUGGCCUUCCCUCACCUCAGAGCCUUUGCAUGUGCCGUGCCCUCUGCCUGGGACAUUCUGGUGAUUCAGGCCUCCGCUCCAGUGUCACCUCAGCGAGGCCACUACCAUCCCUCCCGCCCCCUCGAGUAUCAAGCUCCCGGCCUCACCUUGCCCUUGACGUCGAGGAUGAAGACAGCCGAGGCGGACAUUGCGGCGGCCGGCGGACCUGGGAGGCGGGGAGGGAGCGCCGGGAGGCGACGGCGGCGCAGCUUCCUUCUUCCUGCGGAAGCGCCGGCGCGCAGGACCUGAGGGGAAAGACAUUUCCUGUCUUCUCCCAUGAAAAGAAGCAGAGGCACAGAAAGGUGAGGCCACUCGCGCAAGGUCACAUAGCCGUGAAGCCGCUGAACCAGAAUUUGAACUGAAGCGUGGUAUUCAUGCACUCCAUCCCAGCCCUCUCCCAGCCACUCCGCCAUUUUGCCAGAGACAAGUAUUGGUACUGAAUGGGGCUCCUGGGGGGCUGGGUCAGUUGAGGGGUUUAUUCUCAAUCCUGGCUCCAGCCACGAUCUCAUGGUUCGGGAGUUCAAGCCCCUUAUCACACUCUGUGCUGACGGCAAGAAGCCUGCUUGG